UGAUGAGUUUCAAGUUAUACAAUGUUCCUUUGUCCCUGCCACUGCUGGUCUUGUAAAACCUCUUGUACAUUUUCUAAAUUUCCAAGAAAAUGAUACUAGAAAACUGGCAUAUUACCAGUAAAAGAAUGUACAUGUAUUAAUUGAUAGAAGAAAAAAAACCAUGUUGAUCAUUAAUUUCAUAAGAUAUUUUUCUACCUCCAACAGAUCUUGUAAUGUAUGAAACAUUUCCACAAUAAUUGGUUCCAUAUGCUCCAAUCUAUCUGCAGCUGUCAGUGCACCAUCUUGACAUGCUUUUGCUCCCUGCAACCUGACUCUGGUCAGUUGGUCACCUCCAACUGGGAUCUUCAGUUUGUCCAAGUCAUUAGCUAAAUGUUUGUUAAAAAAAAAAACUUGAGCUAAGCGGGGCCACUAGGCUAUCUGCCCACUUUGCACCAGCUUAAUAACCAUUUAUGCCUAGGGAGGGAAUCGAACCCUCAUACAUAGCUCAAGUGUACUACUAAAUAAGCUUAUUAAAUAAUUCUAUCCCAAGAAUAUAAAUUUAAAAUUUGUCUUAAAUCUAAUUUUGGAAAACUUAAAAGAAGUAAAUCAAAUACAUUAGAAUUGAUGACUGGUGAUGAAUUUCUUACCUCUUCCACCUUUUGUAUACCACUGCAAAAUUUGUUUUUCAUAGGACUUCAUAAUCUGAAUGCAAUCAGAGUAACAUGUCUCAUUCUUCAUUAGAACUGGCAUCCAACAGACUUCAGACUUUUGAGACAUAGCAUCAUCUUGAACAUGUUCAAUAUGCUGUGGAAGAACAGACUUCAUCCAUUCAAAUUUUGAUGCAUACAUACUUAUGAUUCUGCCAAGUAAAAUUUGUAAUGACUUCUUAUAUACAAGGUCUUCAUCAGAAGUUGGAACAAAGUCUUUCCAAGUGAUGUUUCCAAUAUCUUUCAAACUUUUUGUGUUAUCCAAAUUCUCUGUUUUAAUCCGGUCAAAGACAAAAUCUGAUGCAAAAAAGUGAUAAUCCCUAUUUUUAUUAUCCAUUCGGAUAUCAUUUGUAGUGACGUAGAUAUCAAGAUUAUCACCAUUGAUUUUUCCAUCUUUUCCUUCAGAAACCUUCUCUAUGAUUCGAAAAUCAGAGAAUUCUGCAAAGUCUUUUAAUAAAUUCCUCUUUGUCUCAUGUGAUAAGGUAAAGUGUACCUUAUUAAGUCUUUCUAAAAGCUGAAAGUUUUGAAUAAAAAAUUAUAUGUCUUAAAAAGAUAUUUCAAGUGAAAUUAAAAGACUAGUUUUUUUAUAAAUGGGAUGGUAACUUUUCAUCUAGUUAUUUGUUACAUGUACCAAUAUGUGAAAUUGGUCAAUAAAUGAUAUUCACAUACAUAUA
rnacentral:sRNA from 1 species